ensembl:lncRNA
AGGCUACUUCCUGCGCGGCAGCGAAGGCGCCCGUCCAGCCGCCGUGUCGCCGCCAGAGCCCAGAAACCCACACAGGGCCCCCCACCACAACCGCAAACCAGCUGAGGGGCGGGCGGAUGGGGCCGGCGCACCCUCUACCGCACGCCUCCCAGCCCAGCCCCUGGGGUCCCCACGCACGUGACGGGGCAAUAUGACCCAAGUCCCACGCAGGACUGGGACACCGAGCCAGACGACGACCAGGGCACCCAAGCUGGCCCAGACACUGGAGGACACGUGGGGGGCCCACAGUGUUGGGCAGAGACUCCAUGGUGCUGGAGAAGAUUCUUGAGUGUCCCUUGGACUGCAAGGAAAUCAAACCAGUCAAUCCUAAAGGAAAUCAACCCUGAAUAUUCAUCGGAAGGGCUGAAGUUGAAGCUGAAGAUCCAAUACUUUGGCCACCUGAUGCGAAGAACUGACUCAUUGGAAAAGACCCUGAUGCUGGGAAAGAUUGACAGCAGGAGGAGAAGGGAGCAACAGAGGAUGAGACAGUUGGAUGUCAGCACCGAUUCAAUGGACAUGAGUUUGAGCAAACUCUGGGAGAUGGUGAAGGAGGACAGGGAAGCCUGGCGUGCUGCUGUCCAUGGGGUCGCAAAGAGUCAGACAUGACUUCGCAAGUAAACAAUAUCUGGACCAAAAAUUUUCUAUUGUACCUGAGUCUGUUCCUUCUACAUGGCUUUGACUCCCAUACAGUUCUUCCCCACAAGGCUCCCAUCAACUGCAAAGGGAAGAUGAGUGAGUUCCUGGCGGGGGACACUAGCAGGCACCACCCAAACCCAGUCAUCCCAGUGGACGCCAG